rnacentral:rRNA from 1 species
CCUACGGGUGGCAGCAGUGAGGAAUAUUGGUCCAUGGGCGCGAGCCUGAACCAGCCAAGUCGCGUGAAGGACUACUGCCCUACGGGUUGUAAACUUCUUUUAUAAAGGAAUAAAGUGAGGCACGUGUGCCUUUUUGUAUGUACUUUAUGAAUAAGGAUCGGGUAACCCCGUUCCCGCAGCCGCGGUAAUACGGAGGAUCCAGGCGUUAUCCGGAUUUAUUGGGUUUAAAGGGAGGGUAGAUGGGGUGUUAAGUCAGUUGUGAAAGUUUGCGGUUCAACCGUAAAAUUGCCAUUGAUACUGGCAGUCUUGAGUACAGUUGAGGUAGGCGGAAUUCGUGGUGUAGCGGUGAAAUGCAUAGAUAUCACGAAGAACUCCGAUUGCGAAGGCAGCUUACUAACCUGCCACUGACAUUGAUGCUCGAAAGUGUGGGUAUCAAACAGGAUUAGAUACCCUGGUAGUC